rnacentral:misc_RNA from 1 species
AGAUAGAGAAACGCAAAGAGAAACAGAGAGCGCAAAACAUCACACACACACACACACACACACACACACACACACACACAGUCGUGGCCACGUUUUUACUACUCGCCCUCUUCUUCCUCUCUUCUUCCCAUCCUUCGCUCGUCUUGCUCUCUGCCUUCCUCACGCAUACAUCCUCCCGUUUUUCCACCAUCACCCCGCUUCCCACCCUAUCCCCCUCCAGCUUGCCUGCAGCACACCUCCUCUUUUUUUUUCGUCUUGCGCUGUUGGGCAACACCGCACUGGUGGUUUCGCGCCUCUCCCUUACGCUAAUCUCCCACCUCCUUUUAGAGAUCCUAAGCCCCCUUUCCCCCUCCUCCUGCUUCUUCCUACGGCCACGCAGCGGACGCACGCUCGAGCAGCUCUCUCUUUCUCGUCCGCUUUCAUUCCCGACCCCCUCCCACACGUCAUAGAGGCAAGCACAUACACACACACACACACCUCCAUUUCUCACGGUUUUCUUUUUGUAAUAUUUAGAAGUUCCUUCACAGUCGCGCAACACAAGCACACGCAACAUGCUCCGUCGCGUGUCUUUGUCUGCGCUGGUGCAGCGCGUGUCUGCUGGUGCCGUAAUCGCCACUGAUGGCCGCACCAUCGUUGUUUUCAGUCAGCAGCACCACAUUCUGGAGAGCAACCAGCGGGCGCGCAACAGCCCCAGUAAUGUGUGGAUCGAGGACUGGGAGGCGGAUCGCCUAGGCAUGAAGCCGGAGCCAGGUGCCCUGCCCACGCAGCUGGUUUUGGACAAGCAGCUUGAGCUGUUCAACUUUGAUCAGCUCCUCGCGCCUCCGGAGGUGAUGGAGGCGCCGAAGCACAGCAGCUACAGCAGCCGCAAGGUCUACGGUGAGCGACUGCAGUUCGAGCUCAAUGACCGCGCGCAGCGGCACAGCUACCAAAGCAAGUGGUGGAUCACACGUGGGCAAGCGUACAAGGAGAAUCUGCAGUUUAAGGCCAACGCACGGUCGAGCAUCCUCCUGACCAAGUCUCAGAUCAAGCUCUUUCACUCCAGCCAGCUCAGCGGCGGAGAAGCCCUCCAGCAGUACCCCGUUAGCGGUGGCAGUCGCCGCGUGUACAGCAAGAAGGGGGAGGCCUUCCAGCUUCUGCAGGAUCACAUCAAGUCGAACGACUUCAACAGCGGCCUGUACUUCACCCGCCGCCAGAUGGAGUUUUUCAAGCUCGCCCCGCUGCCGGAUCAGUUGCCAGUGGUCCAGGAGGCGACAACGGGCGACCGUCACCUUAUCUACAACGUGGACCAGCUGGAGGACCCGCACCUGGCGCUGAAGACGCUGCAGCGUGCGCCGGUGAAUGUGCCGACCUUCCUUCUAUCUGGGGAGCCCAUCAUGUCGGAAAACACCAGGAAGUUCCCGAAGACGUUCCGCAGCAACUACUGGCUGACCGGCCGUGAUGCCGAGCUUUACCAGUGGCCCAUCAAGGAGAGCGAAAAGCGCCGUGGUGUGCCGUUCAGCACUGGGUCUUCGGCCCCGGUCCAGUACGAGCUGUUCAACGUGGAGCAGCUGUCGAACCCAGAUGAGGCGUUCGCACGCGCGGGUCUGUUCAUUCAGUAGGCGGGCGACGGCGGCAAAGACGCAAAGGGAAUGGAGCAGGCGACGGUGGAGAAGCCUGUUCCGCGUGAUGGAGCGACGGGAGACAAGGAUGCGGGAGCAGCGUGGAUGCGGUGCGCGCAUGCGUUCCCGCCCUUCCUUCUUCCUUGACGUCUCUCACUCUCUCCCUUUUUUCGCUGUUCUGUCGCGUCUGUCUUUGGUGCUACAUUGGGUUUGUGAGAUUUAGUGAUGCUGUCUUUUUUUCUUAGUUUUCUCUUUCUCCCCUUAAGCAUCCCAUCGCGCGUGUCUGUGUUUCUGUGUGUGUGUGUAUGUAUGGAUGGGAGGAUGCUCAUUGAUGCCGUUGGCUAUCCUGUGCACUUCACGGAAUGGAGAAGGCCGUCUUGUUCUCUUUCCGCAUCUCUGUGCCUGUGCAUGUAUGUUUGCGCACGCGCUUCGGCACACCAAGCAGCCGCGGCGGCGUUGCCAUUGCAGUUCAUUGCUGUUGUGAAGAUGCUGGCGUUGCGUUCAAGUCUGCGAUGGUGACUUCAUAGAGAGGCAACACGAAGCUCCGCCGGACACCACAGGAGGCGAGGCACGAAGAUGUGCGAGAUAUAAGAAGCUGACAAGGGAAGAAGAGAGGAAAGGCGGGCGGUGGUGAUGGUGGUCCGUGCACUCAAGGCAUGAAAGGACCGGUGGAAGGUGGGGGCGAUGGGUCGGGUGCACGGGAGAUGACAGCCGCUCGUUUUGUCCUCGCUCCUUCUCUUCUUGCCCUCUGUGGUGCAGUACUGUAGUGUCAGGCGCUUGAUCGCCAUCACCCCUUUCUCCUUUUCUGUUCCUGUACUUCAAUGUGCUUGACACUUCGUUGUGCACGCUUCUUGGUGGUGUAUGGCAUACAUGAAUGCAUGCAUACUCAUGCUUUCUGCUUUUGUUGUGCCACUACGCGACGGCGCGCGUGUCUUGGACGACCGUGCCCAUCGCUCGGUGGCGCUUCCGUUCCUUUCUGGUUCUUGCGUGUUGGCUUUGCGAGCGUGGCGGAGGGGAGAGGGCACACUUCGGCGAAGAGCGACCCCUGCCUCGCCCUGCCUGAAGCGUGCGAGUGCCACCAAGACGGGAGGAACACCAACAAGGAACAAAAAGCGAAUAGCGCAUGUGUGCGCGCAUGAUAUCCCGCGACUUAGGGGCGUAUUAACGCGUGUGCCUUUUUUCGUAUUUUUAUGUUUCUUGGGAGAGGGGGAGGGCCUCUUGAGAUGAGAGUAGAAGGCGCCUUGUGUUCAUAAUCAUAGAGUAUCGGUCGAGUGAGGUUUUAGUGCCCAUCUGCGCGAUGUGCGUACUGUGAUGAUACCUCGUUUGUUGUUUGCUGUCAGAGAGGGAGGGAGGGAGGGGGCCCCCUUUGCUCUCCCUUCCUUUCCUUCUUUGUUGUUGCCGACCAGUUUUAGCGCUCCCCGCGGUGUUGCCGACGCGUUGAAACACGCAUUAAGGCACGCCGAUGACGAGGAUGAUGGGGGGAAGAGGGGUCCAAGCCCUCUUUCCUGCCUCAAAUCUUCAUUGCUCCCCUGAACCACAUCUUCAGCCCCCCCCCCCCCCGAGAAGAUCGAGUCGUCUCGGGAUUUCUACACAUACAAGCAUGCGUGCAUACAUCUCUCUUUCUCUUCCCUUGUUGUGGUGUUGCUUUACGUUGUGCUUCCUCCUUUGGUUUGGCUGUUUUUGCGAUGGCUCGUUGAAAAUGGUGUGGAUGACCGCCACCACCCCCCCCUUCCUCUCUGUCUGUGUCUCUCUUCCCCCUCGAAAGAAUGCUUGUUUUGAAAGUAUACAAGAGAAGGGCCAUGCGUCGACACGCAAUGCAGCCAAAGAAGAG